rnacentral:rRNA from 1 species
GAUGAACGCUGGCGGCGUGCUUAACACAUGCAAGUCGAACGAUGAAGCCGGAGCUUGCUCUGGUGAAUUAGUGGCGAACGGGUGAGUAACACGUGAGUAACCUGCCCUUGACUCUGGGAUAGCUGCUAGAAAUGGUAGCUAAUACCGGAUACGACCCUCGGUGGCAUCACCAGGGGGUGGAAAGAAUUUCGGUCAAGGAUGGACUCGCGGCCUAUCAGCUAGUUGGUGAGGUAACGGCUCACCAAGGCGACGACGGGUAGCCGGCCUGAGAGGGUGACCGGCCACACUGGGACUGAGACACGGCCCAGACUCCUACGGGAGGCAGCAGUGGAGAAUAUUGCACAAUGGGCGCAAGCCUGAUGCAGCAACGCCGCGUGAGGGAUGACGGCCUUCGGGUUGUAAACCUCUUUUAGUAGGGAAGAAGCGAAAGUGACGGUACCUGCAGAAAAAGCACCGGCUAACUACGUGCCAGACGCAGAAAAAC